AGUGAACGCUGGCGGUAGGCCUAACACAUGCAAGUCGAACGGCAGCACAGUAAGAGCUUGCUCUUACGGGUGGCGAGUGGCGGACGGGUGAGGAAUACAUCGGAAUCUACUUUUUCGUGGGGGAUAACGAAGGGAAAUUUACGCUAAUACCGCAUACGACCUACGGGUGAAAGCAGGGGAUCUUCGGACCUUGCGCGAUUGAAUGAGCCGAUGUCGGAUUAGCUAGUUGGCGGGGUAAAGGCCCACCAAGGCGACGAUCCGUAGCUGGUCUGAGAGGAUGAUCAGCCACACUGGAACUGAGACACGGUCCAGACUCCUACGGGAGGCAGCAGUGGGGAAUAUUGGACAAUGGGCGCAAGCCUGAUCCAGCCAUACCGCGUGGGUGAAGAAGGCCUUCGGGUUGUAAAGCCCUUUUGUUGGGAAAGAAAAGCAGCAGGUUAAUACCCCGCUGUUCUGACGGUACCCAAAGAAUAAGCACCGGCUAACUUCGUG
rnacentral:rRNA from 1 species